rnacentral:rRNA from 1 species
GAUCCUGGCUCAGGAUGAACGCUGGCGGCGUGCUUAACACAUGCAAGUCGAGCGAAGCACUCUGCUUUGAUUCUUUCGGGAUGAAGAGCAUUGUGACUGAGCGGCGGACGGGUGAGUAACGCGUGGGUAACCUGCCUCAUACAGGGGGAUAACAGUUAGAAAUGGCUGCUAAUACCGCAUAAGACCACAGCACCGCAUGGUGCAGGGGUAAAAACUCCGGUGGU